CACACACACACACACACACACACACACACACACACACACACACACACACACACACACACACACAGAGAGAGAUAGUGUAAACCGUUCCUCCCUCUUUCUCUCUCUCCCACAGUCUCUUGCUGGCAGCUGUUUGUCUUUGAUGUUUAUUCACAGGAGUGUUGUUAAGGAGAUCCUGGGAGUUGGGGCCUGCCUACCACUUUGUUAGAAUUCCUCACUUCACCGAGGCAAUUACACAAAAACUCAGCAAUCUAAUGAUUUAAAGUCCCCAGAAAGCAUUGCAGGCAGACUGCUAGGUUAUGGCGUGUUAUGUUUAAAAUCUAAUAACUGUCUCUUAGAUGACAGUAACUGCUCCUUUUCCUCUCAAUUUGCCCGAAGGGCUUCGAUUAAUAAAAGAUGUAUUUUGUUUUUCUUCAGUGAUACCACAUACUGUAGAUGAGAAGUUUUGUUUGUUAGAGAUAGGAGAACGAUUAGAGUGUUUUUGUGGAGACGGUCAUGCCAACAGCCUUGUGAUGGACUGUGUGGGGGUAUGUGGAGGAUGUGGGUGAAGAGGGAGGGGGAGAAGGACCUGGCCUGGCUCCAAUUUGGACGAGGGCUUGACCAAAAGGCUCUGGGUUGUGUUAGAAAUUAGACACCGCUUCAGAGAUUAAGCCCUGUGUGCAAACGUCCGAAUUCAGACACGCACACACACACCCACACCCUCAAGGCGCCAGUCUCCCUGUAAGGUCUAUGAGCUGUUCUGUUUUUUGUCCCUGGUUUGGCAGAUGUUAUUCAUUGAGUUGAAUGGGGAGAGAAAGGGGCUGAUAUUUUGACAGUGGCUGAGGCACUGACUCUGAGGUGCAGUGUUCCCUAGACUUCUGCAUAGUUACCCCACUAUGUUAAUGGGGUGGUACGCGUGUGUGUAUGCAUGCAUGUGUGUGUUGCAGGCAGUGUGUGUGUUUGUAUGUGUGUGUCGCAGGCAGUGUGUGUGUCGCAGGCAUUGUGUGUGUGUCGCAGGCAUUGUGUGUGUGUCGCAGGCAGUGUGUGUGUGUGUGUGUGCGUCACAGGCAGUGUGUGUGUGUGUGUCACAGGCAGAGUGUAUGUGUGUGUGUCGCAGGCAGUGUGUGGGGGUGUUGAGGGACACAGGAGGUUGGUGGCACCUUAAUUGGGGAGGACGGGCUUGUGGUAAUGACUGGGAGGAAUCAGUGGAAUGGUAUCAAAUACAUCAAACUCAUAGUUUUCCGGGUGUUUGAUGCCAUUCCAUUUGCUCCGUUCCGGCCGUUAUUAUGAGCCUCCUGUGUUGAGGGGAGAGUACAACCUAGGGCUGCACAGCAAGGGUGAAAAGAUAAUGUAGCAUCAAAGCUCUUGUUAGCUUUACCUCCCUCUGUGACCCCUCUCUCCCUUUUUUUCUCUCUCUCUCUCUUUUCUCCAUCCCUUUCUGUUCUAGUUAUUGCUAUCCUAUAUCUACCUGCAUUGCCUCCCACCUUCUCUCGGCUAGGUCAAGACAAACUGUUCAUUUUGCAGGAGCAGCAGAAUCCACAUCUAGUUAGCAGUAGAUUUAAGCAGCUUUAAUAGACAUCUCUGUAUUUAUUAAGGCUGGCUUAUUGUCUCAAUGGAUGCUUGGUGAGCUCUCCUAUCCCAGUGCAGUGGAAAUCACAUUCUCUAAGUUCUGUCGCGUUACAUUACUUAAAUAGAAAUGCCAUCAGAGUCAAAUGAAAGAAGGGUUAUUCGGCUGUUCCCAUAAGAGACCCCUUUACACAGACGGUUCUACCUGGAACCAAAAGGAGCUGUACCUGGAACCAAAAACGGUUCUCCUGUGGAGACAGCCGAAGAAUCCUUUUCUCAGAGUGUAUCACCUGUGGAUUGCUUGUGACAGAAAACAUUGUAAAAUAUAAAUGUGAUUGUGUGCUGCAAAAUUAUGUUAUGAUGAGUUUCAAGUCACAAAAAAAACGAAGAAAUACAAAACAAUGAUGUGAUGAUGCAUUGGCUACGCAAGUAAAUAGCUUGGUCAAAAGUAGUGCACUAUACAGGGAAUAUCGUGCCAUUUAGAACACAGGGUUAGUGUCUGUAACCUGGCCCCUACCUGUGUUUUCUUCCCACACCCCUUGGCUGGUAAUGACCUGAGGGUGUGUUUUCACGGCACCGAAAGGGUCAGAUGGCGAUCUGUGUGUGUGUGUGUGCUUUCACUGCAAGGGUUAAUGAUGUUUAUCAGCUCCCAAUGCACCCCAGACUCCAUGUCCAAAAACACUCUGAAGUAGUAGGAUGGAAAGAUGAUGCUCUUAAAUUGGGUCAUAAAUGGGUUUGCAUGGGAUUAUUAAGUUAAUGUGUGUUUUUUUGUAACGUGUGUGUGUGUAUGUGUUUGUUGGUUUAGUAUAUGUGGGGUUUUAUACACUGAUAAGCUAGUUGGAGUGUUCGUGCCUGCCAGCUCCUAGCAAUCUCCCUAGUCAAUUAGUCCUCCUAUCCCUUUCUCCCUGUUUGUGUGAGUAUGUAAUGUGCGUGUGUGUGUAAUGUGUAUAUAUUUUUUGUGUGUGUGUAUGAGCUCGCUGGCUACGGGGCAUUGUCUGAUAGGACCUGCUUGGAGACAGAGUGUCUGGUCUGUCUAUGAGGAG
ensembl:lncRNA